GAUGAUCUCCAGCUUGCUGGGGGGAUUAGUGGCGAACGGGUGAGUAACACGUGAGUAACCUGCCCUUGACUCUGGGAUAAGCCUGGGAAACUGGGUCUAAUACUGGAUACGACCUUCCCACGCAUGUGGUGUUGGUGGAAAGCUUUUGUGGUUUUGGAUGGACUCGCGGCCUAUCAGCUUGUUGGUGGGGUAAUGGCCUACCAAGGCGACGACGGGUAGCCGGCCUGAGAGGGUGGACGGCCACACUGGGACUGAGACACGGCCCAGACUCCUACGGGAGGCAGCAGUGGGGAAUAUUGCACAAUGGGCGCAAGCCUGAUGCAGCGACGCCGCGUGAGGGAUGAAGGCCUUCGGGUUGUAAACCUCUUUCAGUAGGGAAGAAGCGAAAGUGACGGUACCUGCAGAAGAAGCGCCGGCUAACUACGUGCCAGCAGCCGCGGUAAUACGUAGGGCGCAAGCGUUAUCCGGAAUUAUUGGGCGUAAAGAGCUCGUAGGCGGUUUGUCGCGUCUGCCGUGAAAGUCCGGGGCUUAACUCCGGAUCUGCGGUGGGUACGGGCAGACUUGAGUGAUGUAGGGGAGACUGGAAUUCCUGGUGUAGCGGUGAAAUGCGCAGAUAUCAGGAGGAACACCGAUGGCGAAGGCAGGUCUCUGGGCAUUAACUGACGCUGAGGAGCGAAAGCAUGGGGAGCGAACAGGAUUAGAUACCCUGGUAGUCCAUGCCGUAAACGUUGGGCACUAGGUGUGGGGGACAUUCCACGUUUUCCGCGCCGUAGCUAACGCAUUAAGUGCCCCGCCUGGGGAGUACGGCCGCAAGGCUAAAACUCAAAGGAAUUGACGGGGGCCCG
rnacentral:rRNA from 1 species